rnacentral:rRNA from 1 species
AAAGAGAGUUUAAACAGCACGUGAAAUUGUUGAAAAGGGAAGCGCUUGCGACCAGACUCGGCCCCGGGGUUCAGCCAGCACUCGUGCUGGUGUACUUCCCCGGGGGCGGGCCAGCGUCGGUUUGGGCGGCCGGUCAAAGGCCCCAGGAAUGUGUCGCCCUCCGGGGCGUCUUAUAGCCUGGGGUGCAAUGCGGCCAGCCCGGCCCGAGGAACGCGCUUCGGCACGGACGCUGGCGUAAUGGUCGCAAACGACCCGUCUUGAAACACGGACCAAGGAGUCUAACAUCUACGCGAGUGUUCGGGUGUCAAACCCGUACGCGCAGUGAAAGCGAACGGAGGUGGGAGCCCCUCACGGGGCGCACCAUCGACCGAUCCUGAUGUCUUCGGAUGGAUUUGAGUAAGAGCGUAGCUGUGGGGACCCGAAAGAUGGUGAACUAUGCCUGAAUAGGGCGAAGCCAGAGGAAACUCUGGUGGAGGCUCGCAGCGGUUCUGACGUGCAAAUCGAUCGUCAAAUUGGGUAUA